AUUGAACGCUGGCGGCAUGCUUUACACAUGCAAGUCGAACGGUAACAGGCCGCAAGGUGCUGACGAGUGGCGAACGGGUGAGUAAUGCAUCGGAACGUGCCCAAUCGUGGGGGAUAACGCAGCGAAAGCUGCGCUAAUACCGCAUACGAUCUAUGGAUGAAAGCGGGGGACCGUAAGGCCUCGCGCGAUUGGAGCGGCCGAUGUCAGAUUAGGUAGUUGGUGGGGUAAAGGCUCACCAAGCCGACGAUCUGUAGCUGGUCUGAGAGGACGACCAGCCACACUGGGACUGAGACACGGCCCAGACGCCUACGGGAGGCAGCAGUGGGGAAUUUUGGACAAUGGGCGCAAGCCUGAUCCAGCAAUGCCGCGUGCAGGAAGAAGGCCUUCGGGUUGUAAACUGCUUUUGUACGGAACGAAAAGGCUCUGGUUAAUACCCGGGGCUCAUGACGGUACCGUAAGAAUAAGCACCGGCUAACUACGUGCCAGCAGCCGCCGUAACAC
rnacentral:rRNA from 1 species